rnacentral:rRNA from 1 species
GACAGAGGGUGCAAACGUUGUUCGGAAUUACUGGGCGUAAAGCGUGUGUAGGCGGCCACGUAAGUCGGAUGUGAAAAGCCCCCAGGCUCAACCUGGGAAGUGCACUCGAUACUGCGUGGCUUGAGUAUCGGAGAGGUUGGUGGAAUUCUCGGUGUAGAGGUGAAAAUUCGUAGAUAUCGAGAGGAACACCGGUGGCGAAGGCGGCCAAACUGGACGAAAUACUGACGCUUGAGACACGAAAAGCGUGGGGGAGCAAAACAGG